CAGUAGCCACGGUAAUACGAAGGGGGCUAGCGUUGUUCGGAAUCACUGGGCGUAAAGAGCACGUAGGCGGAUCUUUAAGUCAGAGGUGAAAUCCCGAGGCUCAACCUCGGAACUGCCUUUGAUACUGGGGAUCUCGAGUCCGGGAGAGGUGAGUGGAACUGCGAGUGUAGAGGUGAAAUUCGUAGAUAUUCGCAAGAACACCAGUGGCGAAGGCGGCUCACUGGCCCGGAACUGACGCUGAGGUGCGAAAGCGUGGGGAGCAAACAGGAUUAGAUACCCGUGUAGUCCCUGUCUCUUAUAC
rnacentral:rRNA from 1 species